rnacentral:rRNA from 1 species
GUAUAUAAUUUAUAUGAAAACAAAAAAUUAGGCGGUACUUUAAGCUUUUCAGAGGAAUUUGCUCUUUAAUGGAUAAAACGCCUAAAUCUUACUAAAAUUAGUGAAUUCAGUUUGUAUAUCACUAUAAAAGUAAUAAUUUAUUAUAAUUACUUUAAUUUUUUUAAAAAAAAAUAAAUUAAGUCAAGAUGCAGCAAAAAUUUUAGUAUGAAGUGAAUUACAUUUCUUUUUAGAAAAAGUAAAUAAAAAAUAUUGGUAGGAUUUGAAAGUAAAAAUUCAAUAUUAGGUAUUUUGAAUAAAGUUCUAAAGUAUGUAC